CUAGGGGACUGAUUUCUAAACACUUUAAUUGUAAUUUAGACCCUUUAAGAGGCUGUUAAUUUGGUUUCUUUUAUUAAUGAAUGGGAAGCUGCAAAAUGUGUGGACAUGUUUCUGUGCAUAUUUUUUUGUACCUCUUUGAGUACAGCACUCUUUGAUAAAUCCUCUCCACUUAACUCCAACAGGAAGUGUUUAGAGAAUGGGUAGAAAAUAUAGUGAAGUACACACAAGUGAUAG